rnacentral:lncRNA from 1 species
CCUCCAGAUUGCGUCUUGAUCCCUAGCACUGAGAAGAUGACCAAUAAAGGCAUGAGUGAACUCAUAAAUAAAUAGUGUUCUGAGUAAAUUAAUUAAUGACAAUAGAGAUGUCCAGAAUGGGAAUGAAACUGUAGCCUAGUUUAAUUAGAGCAGGGAAUUAGACAUCUUCACCUUCACAGGAGCAACUUGAAGGCAGGUGUGCAUGCUUUUAGGUGUUAUCUGGAACAGCUGUUUCACUGGGGACCCAGCGCAAAAGGAUGGGCCUUGUGGAGAUUGGAUUGCUUUAAAGCUCUUUCUUCCUCCCAGGAUCCACUUUUCCACUCCACGCUCUCCCACUAUUCACCCAGCACUAUCCUGUGGGAGGGAGUCGAAGUUGGAGCAUUCUUGCUCACUACGGGUGUCCCUGUGCCCAUUUUAUGUGUGGAAACUGGAAACUCUGAGGAGUUAGCCUCUCCAUAUUUCCAGAAUUAACAAGCCAUGGAGAUGAGGUUCAAACAGAGCUUCAAACAGCAAGCACGCAUAAGAUCCCAGAGUAGUCCCCCGAUUUCCAAUGCAGGAGGUUGCUUGGUGGCAGAGCUCUGCAAGUGUCCAACAGCAGGCAUUCCAUGGAGCCGUGCACUGGUGUGGAGUGCCAGCGUCUGAUAAAGAAAACGAAGAUACUCUAACGAAGCAGGAAAAGUUCCUGGAUGUGGCAGAUCCAUCUCAAGGCUUUGGAUAAAAGACUGAAGCAGGAGUAAUUGGAUACCAGAACAUUAUAUAUAUAUUUUUUGCAUUAAUCCUUUUGCUUUUUGCUUACCCUUUUCUUCCCAUGGCACUGAAGUGGAAUAUCCCAAGUGCCACCGAACUCAGAGAACUCCACGCCGGAAUGGGGGUGAGGCUGGCGUUCUACCUCUGGCAUAGGAUAAGGAUGGCAGGCACGUAAUAUUACGAAAUGUAGGACAAAUUCAAGCGAAAGAGAGGGAGAGGGAGAGAGAGGGGGAGAGCCAGAGACAGAUGGCGGAUCUGGCUAGGAGCCAAAGCCAGUGAAAUGAAUUACAUUGCUGAAUAACUGUAUACCAUUGAUUCUGCCACUUGUUGCUGCAUGGCAAAAAAAAAAAAAAAAAAAGGAAAAAAAAGAAAAGCCCCAGUGUAUGCUGGAAUCUCCUUAUUUGUCAUGUGCGCAGCAGACAACUUUCACACACAACUCAAUCCUGACAAUGAUACGCUCUGGGUGUCUUGAGUGGGUGUGGAGGUGCAUGAGAAGGUUGUGUGCAUGUAUGUGUGGCCGAGAAAGCAAAUGUGGGUGUGUGUGCUUAUGCAUGUGGGAGAAAGGAAAAACAAUCCUUGCAAUCCGGCCAUUUUUGUUUAAUGAAGAAUGGAAGACUGGCAUUCAGAGAUGUGGUUACGUGCCGCAUAUUAAUGCGUGCUCACCACUCAUCCUCCCCCACUUUAAAAAUGAGUGGCACAGGAGUGAAGCUCUCUACAGAUCAACCACGUGGGAGAAGCAACUCAUGAGGUGGCAUCCUGUUACAGGAACAUCUUUCACAAAUUAUGAGUGAAGAUCAGCCUGACCGCUUAGUGCUGUUGGCCACAUGCAUUGGGAGAGUGUCCCCAUGAGACGUAUACACCAUCUAUGAACGUGGAAGAACAAAAUUCUGCCUUCUUUUGAAGACUUCUGAAUAGUAACUUCCAUUAAAGAAGAGAUAUGUCUUACUU